CAAGCCUCACUAAUUCCAUGAACUCUUCCUACUGAUGGGUUUGUGUGCAGUUUUUUUCUGGCAUGCCAAAGUGGUAUGAAGGUUGACAGCCACUGAAUCCAAAGGGUCGCUGUUCAUGGAGACUGAGAGAUCAAACAGCACAGGACUUGAACACACUUUAUACCUUGUGCCUGGUAGCGCUAUGUAAAUUUUGGGGAUUGCUGCCAAAUCUGAGAAGAGCUCUAGCACGUUUCUUUCAUGUACGAACUGCACGAUUUGGAAGAAUUUUCCGAGGAUUGGCUGUGCCUUCCUGAGAUGCCACGUGACUUGACAAAGCCGGUCCUUUGCUAGUUGCUGAGUUUGGAGAAAUGUGAACUGAACUCCUUAUACUGAAGCAGCUAAUGAAAGCCUGAGAUAAAGCAGCAGGUGUGGAUAGCAGAAAAGAGGGACAGUACCAGAAUUCUCUCCUGAAAUGAACUAUCUUCUUAAUUUCCACCAUUUCCCAUUUCUUUCUGUCAUGAAGCCAUUUCUACCUGGGAAGGUGUUUUAGGUGAGCCUCUCCUUUCAGCUGCUUGAACUGUCUUCAGAACUCCAGCUGCUGGUAGCUGGCUCUGAAAAGAUCGAGAGGUCUGUGGAGAAGUAUUUGUAUUUAGAAUGCCCAGGAAGGAGAGAGCCUGGUUGAAUCAUUUCUUUACCUUGGAGUUGUAAAGUGAAGACAGGAAGAUCACCCACACAUUAAGUAAUUUAUUCAAAAUCUACUGAGUGCCAGCUAUAUACCAGGAACUAUGAUAAACGUUAAGGAUACAAAGAUGAAUAAAAUGAAGCAUCUGUCUUAGAGGAGCUCACAGUUCAAUGAAGAAGAGUGUUUUCUUACACAAGUCUCAGCAAAAUUCCUGUAGUACGGACAUGGUUCUUCCCAUUUCACAUGUGAGAAAUCUGAGCGCAGAAAAGUGGCUUGGUCUUCAUGAAGAAGGGAAAUGAUCUGUUGGAAACUGAGCUGACAUCUAUGUGCAGCGUGUCCUUACUACGUUGCUCUGCGUCGGGCACACAGUAAGCUGCGAUAAACUGUCAUUAAGCGGUAGAAUCGAUGAGUGGCCGCCGCGUGUGUGGGAUUCCGAGGAGUGGAGAAGCAGUGGAUUGUGAGAUUGAGCUCUCAAUAUGUAAAUAUGGAUAUUAUCUAUUAGAUAAUUUUAACCAGAAGCCUUUUUCCAAAAAGUGAUGGCCUGACUGCCUUGGACCUCGGGUGGACUUCUUAGACCAGGCAUGUUUGCCUUUGGUAGGAUGGGACAAGAAGCCAAGGGCUUCUACCACUAUAGACUCUCUACAAGCUGCAGGUUUCUAGUAAACGACCUAUCAGUGUCAUGAUCAAGCCUGAUAUUCUACAAGAUGGCAAGAUAAUUCAAGUCCCUGUGAACUAACUUGCAGCAAAGAGCCAAAGUUGACAGAUUACUGAGUUGGAAAAUAAAAGUGCACUGCUGUUCCUGCUAAGGUAAAAGCAAAUUGCUUCUGUUUUUUCUAUUAAUCAAAAUAUGGGGCUAGGGAGUAUAUGCUGCUUACCAGGUUGCUCCAGCAAAAAGGCUCUAUCAGGAACAGCAGCACAAUGAUUUUGCUUUUAUUCUUCAAAACGUACAUGUAUUUUGUCCAACUAACCCAGGGAAUUCAAUGUAACUAUGCAAAGAAUUAUCACUCUUAAAUUUUU